GAGUUUGAUCGUGGCUCAGAUUGAACGCUGGCGGCAGGCCUAACACAUGCAAGUCGAGCGGUAGAGAGAAGCUUGCUUCUCUUGAGAGCGGCGGACGGGUGAGUAAUGCCUAGGAAUCUGCCUGGUAGUGGGGGAUAACGCUCGGAAACGGACGCUAAUACCGCAUACGUCCUACGGGAGAAAGCAGGGGACCUUCGGGCCUUGCGCUAUCAGAUGAGCCUAGGUCGGAUUAGCUAGUUGGUGAGGUAAUGGCUCACCAAGGCGACGAUCCGUAACUGGUCUGAGAGGAUGAUCAGUCACACUGGAACUGAGACACGGUCCAGACUCCUACGGGAGGCAGCAGUGGGGAAUAUUGGACAAUGGGCGAAAGCCUGAUCCAGCCAUGCCGCGUGUGUGAAGAAGGUCUUCGGAUUGUAAAGCACUUUAAGUUGGGAGGAAGGGCAGUAAAUUAAUACUUUAGCUGUUUUGACGUUUAUCGACAGAAUAAGCACCGGCUAACU
rnacentral:rRNA from 1 species